rnacentral:rRNA from 1 species
AUGUUUCAGUUUGUGAUGGGUCUCAAGCCAGACUUUGAGAACAUUCGCACUCAAUUGCUUGGUCGUAUGACUCCUCCCACCUUGACAGAGGCACUUGCUAGCUUGAUCGUUGAGGAGACUCGUCUCCGUUCUCUUGGGGCUACUUCUGCGCAGACUCUACACACUAGUGUUCUGGCUUUUCCUCAGCGGCCAGGUGCCUCCAAGGCCACACCUUCAGCUGUCGUUUGCUCGUUCUGCAAGAAGGCAGGACACCAUAGAGAUGGUUGUUUCAAGCUUCAUCCAGAGCUCUUAGCUGAGUUUCAGGCUAGACAGGCCCUCAAUCAGCAGCGUCGUGCACCCCAGGCUCCUUAUCAGCAGCAAGCGAGGGGUGCUUCUACAUCUGUUCUCUCUCAGCCCGCUGUUGCUGCAACCCAGCCUUGGGUUCUGGACUCUGGAGCUUCUUUCCAUGUGACCUCUGACCACUCUCAGCUUGUGUCUUGCCAGCCAGUGCAGGAUGGUGCCUCUGUUCAGACUGCUGAUGGACCGUCAGAGCAAGAGGGUCAUUGGAACUGGCCAUCGCCAUAG